AUUGAACGCUGGCGGCAGGCCUAACACAUGCAAGUCGAGCGGAGCGGCGGACGGGUGAGUAAUGCCUAGGAAUCUGCCUGGUAGUGGGGGAUAACGUCCGGAAACGGGCGCUAAUACCGCAUACUAUCAGAUUACCCUUGGUCGGUUUAGCGAGUGGGGGGGUAAAAGGCCUACCAAGGCGACGAUCCUUAACUGGUCUGAGAGGAGGAUCAGUCAAACUGGAACUGAGACACGGUCAAGACUCCUACGGGAGGCAGCAGUGGGGAAUAUUGGACAAUGGGCGAAAGCCUGAGCCAGCCAUGCCGCGUGUGUGAAGAAGGUCGUCGGAGUGUAAAGCACUUUAAGUUGGGAGGCGUUACCAACAGAAUAAGCACCGGCUAACUUCGUGCCAGCAGCCGCGGUAAUAC
rnacentral:rRNA from 1 species